UACGAAGGGGGCUAGCGUUGCUCGGAAUCACUGGGCGUAAAGCGCACGUAGGCGGAUUGCUAAGUCAGGGGUGGAAUCCUGGAGCUCAACUCCAGAACUGCCUUUGAUACUGGCAACCUUGAGUCCGGGAGAGGUGAGUGGAACUGCGAGUGUAGAGGUGAAAUUCGUAGAUAUUCGCAAGAACACCAGAGGCGAAGGCGGCGAACUGGACAGUAACUGACACUCAACUGCGGAAAGCGUGGGGAGCAAACAGGG
rnacentral:rRNA from 1 species